GAUGAACGCUGGCGGCGUGCCUAACACAUGCAAGUCGAGCGAUUCUCCUCGGAGAAGAGGCGGCGGACGGGUGAGUAACGCGUGGGUAACCUGCCCUGUACACACGGAUAACAUACCGAAAGGUAUGCUAAUACGAGAUAAUAUGCUUUUAUCGCAUGGUAGAAGUAUCAAAGCUCCGGCGGUACAGGAUGGACCCGCGUCUGAUUAGCUAGUUGGUAAGGUAACGGCUUACCAAGGCGACGAUCAGUAGCCGACCUGAGAGGGUGAUCGGCCACAUUGGAACUGAGACACGGUCCAAACUCCUACGGGAGGCAGCAGUGGGGAAUAUUGCACAAUGGGCGAAAGCCUGAUGCAGCAACGCCGCGUGAGCGAUGAAGGCCUUCGGGUCGUAAAGCUCUGUCCUCAAGGAAGAUAAUGACGGUACUUGAGGAGGAAGCCCCGGCUAACUACGUGCCAGCAGCCGCGGUAGUAGUCGU
rnacentral:rRNA from 1 species